GUGGAGGAACGGUCUCCUCAAUCUGUCCAUGGAGCAGGACAGUGACAGCAGCCUGUCAUUGAAGCUGCUCCUCUGUCUGGAGAUGAUGUUGUGCAGUGGAUGUAGUGGAUUGUCCAUGAUCGACAGGAGCCUGCUCAGCAUCAGUCGCUCUGCCACAGAUGUCAGGUUGUCAAGCUCCCUGCCCACAACAGAGCCCGCCUUCCUCACCAGUUUGUAAUACUCUGUCCCCCAGUUGUACAUACUGAGAUCUGCCAGUCAGGUAGUCCGUGAUCCAUGCCACCAGGUGUGAGCCCACUCCUCCCAUCCCAGCUUGUCCCUGAGGAGCAGCGGCUGGAUCGUGUUAAAGGCACUGAAGAAGUCCAAGAAUGUAAUUCUCACAGCACCACUGCCUCUGUCCAAGUGAUGGAGGGAUCAGUGUAACAUGUAGAUGAUGGCGUCCUUCACUCUCACCUUCUCCUGGUAUGCAAACUACAAAGGGUCGAGAGUGUGGCGGACCUAUGAUCUCAGGUGAUGUAGCAGCAGCCACCCCAUGGUGUUUAUUACGUGUGACGUCAUGGCGACUGGCCUGAAAUCAUUCAGCUCCCCAGGAUGAGAUUUCUUUGGGACUGGGAUGAUGCAGGAUGUUUACACAUAGCAGUGUACAGUUCUUAUAGGAACAAUGUCCAUACAGAACUUAAUGUAGUCAGUAGUGCAGUCAACAACCUCCUCAAUGUUCUCGCUGUGUGACCCUUGUAGUACAUCCCAGUCUGUAAUUCCAAAGCAGUCUCUCAAGAGCCUGCUCUGCCUCAGGAGACCACUGUGUGUAUAUUCUUUUGUCUCUUAAUUUCUGCGAAAGAGUCAGAGUACCCAUGCUGACCCCUGUCCACCGCCAAAAAGCUCCUACAGUGAACAUCAAAACCUGACCAUGGAUUAAUGGAAGAAAGCAGCCUGGUCUGAUGAAUCAUGUUUUCUUUUACAUUAUAUGGAUGGCAGGGUGCAUGUGAGGAGGAGAUGGCACAAGGAUGCACAAUGGGAAGAGGGCAAUCCAAUUGAAGCAGUGUGAUGCUGUAGGCAUUAUUCUACAAGAAACUGUCACACCUGUGCAAGGAACCCUAAAAAGCAGAGCACAGACUGCAGAACAAAUAAAGUUUUAUUUUGGAACUUGAGGUGGAGAGGGGAAGGGGUGUGCAGGUCCAAAGAGGGGUAUGGUGGCAGGUGAAAGAGUCCUAGGGGAAGUUGUGCUGCUGGGGGUGCAGGUCCUGAUGGGAAGGUUGAGCGGCUGGCAGACUGGAGGGAAUGGCAGGCAGGAACUGAAUAGAAGAAACAGGUUAGGUUAAGAUCUGACUGGCACAACUGCUAGUGCAGACGCUGGAGCUAAGAAGAGCCAAAACUUCUCUCUACACAAACCAUUUUGGGCAAGGGACACAGGAGACAGGACCCAAAUGCAGACCAUUCAGGAGAUUUAUUAUAAGCAAAAAGAUCACAUGAACAUGGAUGCAGGAAGCAAAACUCAAUACUCCAAGUCACCAACUAAGAACUGGGGGAAAGACAGGACUAUAUGUACACACACGGGAUAAUUAUCAACAAUACAAGAGUUCAAGGUGACUUCAAGGUGACAUCAUGGCCUCAAACCUACAGGCUAUUUUAAUUUUAAUUUGAAAAUUUUGCUCAUUUUUGGCAAUUUUUUGGUUGUACUUGAUCAAACUCCUUCCCCAGACUAUAGUCCCACACAUGUCAGUGCAUUUCAAUGUGACAGUUUGAGGGGCUCCUUCCCCUUGCUCCCUACCUUGAUCUCUUGUGGUUACAGAGGCCUCAGUUAUCCAGGGAGUCAGCCCUGGAUGUAGUGCAGUAAGGUGGCUGUCACUCUUGCAUUCUCUGCACCAAACAUUUUUUCCACAGUCUUUGGCUAGGUGACUGGUUGAUGCACAGCACCCAUAGCAAAUAUUCUUUAAGGUAAGCUUCCUCUCAUCCAAAGGUUUGCCCCUAAAACCACAAGACUUCCUAAGGGGGUUUGGUUUGUUGUGGAGGGGACAUUGCUUGUCGAGGUCAGCCAUCAUUUUUCUGAGGGACUAUAAUGGCUGCUAUCAAGUAUUCACUGAGACCUCUGUCUUUUUGACAGAAAUAGGUGUUUUCGUGUGUUUUUGGCUUGAUCAAAAAACAAACUGGUUACAGUUUAACAGGUAAGAAUCUAUCUGCCCUGGCAGCUUCAAGCUCCAAGAGAUUGUCUGCCAACACCCUGAUUUUCACGAUUUGAGAUUUUUAGAAAAUCAUCCACCAUCCACCUUCUUGAUGCCAUGUUUAAGUCCUCUGUUGAACUGUGGAAAGAUUCCUUCCAGGCCCAGGACGGUCAUCGAACCUUAACAGCCCGGAUCUUAUCAUCUCACGACAUAUCAAAUACUUGGCCAGAUCUGUUGUAGAUGAUGAACUGGGCUCAUUGGUUCUGGGAGCACCACCGGUAUGUGACCGAGGAGGCUGGUAGUUACUGCUGAUUUGUAUUGUGUGACUGCGUUCAGUGUCUGUGAUUGUCUUUUGAUGGGUUUGAACUGUGUAGGCGUUCUGGUUUCAGGAGGCCAAUCCUGAAUGAUCUUUGAGCAUGAGGGCAAUAUGGAGUAGCAUCAUCCUUUCAGUUUGAGUGUUUGCUGAACAGCUUUGAACCAUCUUAAGUAACCUCUAUAACACAUGCACUGGAUAUCAGUCAUGCUCUAUACUGGUUUUGUGGGCCUAUCUCUGUCAACAUGGAACCAGCUUCCCCAAAGAGGUCAGACCCUGAGGAUGUGGAUUCUUGUUCACUAGGUAAGAGAGAAUACACAAGGAAACUUAAGGUGACAAAACAGCAAAUCACAUUUGUGUAGUUUGUCAGUCUAUACUGUACCUACACAGUGGCAAAUUACUGCUGGAAGUUAGCAUUCUUUAGGCUUGAAUUAAUCACACAGUAAAAAUGGUUACACUAGGCAGGUUGAUUCCAUUUCUGCAGUAAAGACAAUGACAAUGUUUUUUUCAAGUUUUCACAAAUUAGUCACCAAAAUACGUUACAAAACCUGGCUGAUUAAACCCUGUAUUACUCCGACAGACUUUAAGGCAAGCAGCCUUAUGGCUAAAAACAAUGCGCCAUAUUGUCUCCCACUGUCCAGUUUCAGCGGGAAUAUUAGUGACGCAACUGGACAGCAGGAAGAAAGAACCAUACCACAGCAUCUUGGUCAGUUUUCUUUUGAGCAGAAUUUGAGGGCAAUAACGGUAGGAUUUUUAAUUACACAAUGAAAAUCUGUGUAGCUACUGUAGUUGAUUACUGUAUGGUACAUAACCAAUUAAUUUAAGUAACGUCUCAUUUUGACUGUGUUAAAUUAAUAUCUGUGACACAACAUUUAAGAUUGCUUACAGAUGCUUACAACUGAAUUAACGUAAAACCUACCAUGAGCCAAGUGGUGUCAGACUCCUUAUUCCCAAAAUCACGUGCCUUUUUUGGACUUUGUCUUCUGUUUAAGACAUCUAGUUAAGCCUGUAGGCUAACAUUGCUGUUUCCAAUAUCCAUAAAUCCAAAUCCAAUAUCCGAAGGCAGGACUAAACUGAACCAGUUGUAGUUCGGUCAGAACAGUACUGUAGAGCCAAAACAGUGGUUUAUAAUUCCAGAUUCGAAAGACAAUUGUUUGUUCAUUUCCAGCCUGGAAUUCCUGAACCAGCUCUCGUGAAUUUGUUUAUGUAGAAUUAAUCACAAUAUGGUGGUAAAUGUCAACAUCACACUGUAGGUAUCCAACGCAGAAUUGGAAUUUCACGGUAAUGGUGGUGUACAUAAAGUGAUGAGUAAGCUAUGAUCAGGUGUUGGAGGUGUCUUGAGUUUGUGGAUUUGCACACAUUUGCAUUACACAGCUUGAGUUAUGUGACAGUAGUAAUAAUAUUAUGUGUUUUUUUAUUUUUUGCAGAUCAUCUCCUGGGUGCGUUUGGUGAUGCUCCAUUAGCUGAAGAUUAAGUGUUACUCAGUCUUACUUUAUGCUGUGACAGCUUCUGAGUUUGAAGCCUCAGUUAAAACCUGGCUGAGAUCGGGAUGGGGUUGGGAGGAGCAGAAGGCCCAAAAAGAGGAACAGAUAAUGUUCUUCUAAUGUUAUGUUCUAAUUAUUCUGCAUAAGCAUUUACCCAGAAAAUAUGGCCUUUUAAGACCCAUGCAGGGCUAUGGUCCACCGUGUUCCAGCAGUGCUCACUCGAGCACCCCUG